rnacentral:piRNA from 1 species
GCCUGUCUAGUAAACAGGAGAUCCUGG